rnacentral:lncRNA from 1 species
CAAGUGCUAGGCGCGCUCACCUUUCUUCCCUGCCCCUCAGUAUCCAGACUCAGGCUGCGCGGUCAGUUAGGGCGGGAAGCCGAGCAGCAGCACAAGCCCAAGCCGUGGGCAGUCAGAGACCCACCGCCUGGGACCCAGGAGUCUGAGCCGAGCCCAGAGGACGCCCAACCUACCCGAGCCACAGGGCGGCGAAGCAGCAGGUGUCUGGACAGCCAGGCAGCCGAGCGGCUGGACAGCGGGGAGGCCCUGGGGACUGACCGGCCCCGCCCCGGCCCGGCCCCGCCCCGGCCCCGGCCCCCUGCCCUGCUCCCGCCUCCGGCCCCCGGCUCCCGCCUGGCUCCGGCUCCCUCCGGCCGCAGCUGCCCGGCCGGCUCAGCGCACCCCGCCUGCGGUCCCGCCGGCCCUCCCCGUCGCGUUGGUGGCGGCGGCGACCGGAACAGGCCCGCCCGCAGCCUCCGAGGUGCCGUGCCCUACAGCGCUGGAGGGAGUUCAGAUGAACUGAGGAAAAUCCAGGUGUUGUGUUGGGUUCAUGGAUGCAGAAGAUAUACUACUAAAAGAAAAGAAAAGCAUGAUCCUUCCUUCAGACAUGUGAAAAACCAUAUUUCUUCAUAG